UUAGGCGCAGAUUCCCCACACCGCGAUUUGAUAGCGCGUGGCACACUUGUAAAUAAAUACAUUCCAUUCGAAAAUUCACUUUCAGCACAACAUUUUGCCAGGCCAUACGUUUUCUCACGGGCUCCUUCCCCCCACAUCAUGCCUCUGAUACUGCUUGCUACAAACGCCCAUGGAAGUGUGGAUUUGGCGGACCGGUGCUUUGUUCUGUUUCAUUUAAAAUGAUCAUUGGACCGUUUCCACCCCCAGCCUGAUUUCUUUCAGGGCUGAUCAGAUGUCUGUAGAGAUCUGCGCCUGUGGACUCAUGUUAAUCUGUUAAUUGAGUUAGACCUUCACUUGGCUCUAUCCUGUGUCUCACAGUGAAACGCUGGCUGCAGUGAGGUUUGUGCUGGUUGAAAACAUGAGAGCUGAUGAAUUACAGCUAGAAUGUGACAUUGACCACAGUUAGUCAUCAAAGGGGGAGGCACCGCUCACUCUCAGACCUGCAGAGCUCACAGAACAGGCCCCCGGGGGGCUUGGGAGCAUUGGUGACCUGCAGCCAGCGUCCCCUUCUUCUGGAAGCCUUGACACACAGCAUGUAAUGCGGGGCUGAGGGGCAUGACUCAGCACCCUGGCUCCACUCCUGGGAGGCACUCUCCAUCCCCCAGGACUGCAGUUUCAAUGCUAUCCUCUGUGACUCAGCUGUCACCACCUCUUUGGGCAAGUUCCACUGCAGGUUUUGUGGGCCAGCGCUCUUGACCGAGAUGCAAAGGCCUUAUCAGCCAAGCAGAUGGCUGGACCAGCUGCCACUUCCCAGGGAGACCAGGAGUUUCCCCCUGGGUCAGCAGGGAGGGGUUUCCUGCGAGGAUCCCACGUGCCAAGUCCUCGGGGAUGCAAGACAUUCUGAGGAUGUGACUUACACGGGGAAGCUCACCAGGACUUCUCCGAUUCGAUAUAAAUAACUCUGCACUGGCAGAUGGGGCGCGAGCCAAGUAGUAAUGAAUACUAGGACAAACAAACAGGCCUCCGGGAUGCCGGCCCAGCCGCUCCAAACCACAGUUGGCAACAGGUUUGGAGGUGGCAGUGGGCGAAAAUCGUACCAGCAACACUGCAGUAAUCCUCGGGAGCGAACGCAGGGAAGCUCUCUCCAGAACGUGCCCUGCUUGAGAGACAGCAAGAGUCAUGAGACCGCUCCGGCCCGCCUUUGGCAAACAAGAGUCUAUAAUUAUGCAGACGUGCAUGGGAGCAGAAGGAAAUCCUGGAUUGCGUCUAGCAGUAUCGUAUGCUGCACAACGAAUCCUGUACAGGAAGGACAGAAAAACACCUCGCCGAGACAUGUGGGUAAAGAUUUGAAAAGGAGGAAGGAGCAACCCAUGAGAAUAUUGAAGGGGAAGACCACUGCGGACAAAGAGAACAGCAAAUACCGCGGCUCAGAGGUAGGGUGCACCGGCUGUGUUUGACUUCCUUAGCAGAGGUCAGUGUGGGUGGAAAAGUGGGGGGCCGGCGGGGGGGCGUCUAAGAGGUAAUGGGAGGCAGGUCCUGGGAAGUUUGCAGAAUAAGAGCGCAUAUACCAGGCAGCAAUCACACUUCAAAGGCCCAUAUGAAGUUAAUGGUUAUGAAUUUAUAUUUGAAUUUAGCUGUAAAAUGUGGCUUGAGAGCAAUCCCUAAAGCUCCUUCCGUGCUGGCUUAUCUGACGGGUCUUCUCUCGUGUCCGGAGUCUGUUCCUCCCUUUGGCCCACCUUUGAUCUUUUCCCUGAUCCCUUCCACCAGAUUUAUUUGUACCCCCAUCCUUGUUCCUACCUCUCACUCUGCCCUACAUAGAACUGACAUUGCAUCAUGGUAACUGUUUUCUGCCUUCAACCGGGAACCCCUCAAGCACAACGAGGCGCCGUCAUCAUUGAAGGCAAUGCUCAAUAAAUUGAACUGCACCCUAUACAAUCCCACCAGAUUAUUGUAGGAAAGGGCUAAGUGGCAACCGUUUGCAAGAAGAUUCUUUCGCUGCUGUCGCCAGAUUUGGUUCGUCUUUAAUUUCAGCACCCUGCCGAAUGUGCAACCAAUAUUUCAGUAAUUAUGUACAAAUAGUUCUCAUUAUAAAUCAAAGUUGUUAUUACUGCCUUAAGCUUUGGCCUUGGUCUCUUUUCUGGGAGACCGGGCUGUUUUCCCGGAGUCGGCGGCCUCAGCUGGCUCCCAUGCCGUUCCCCUACAAAGCUGCACGCCGGGGUUAGCUAGUUAAGGGGGACAGAAACCAGUCUCCGGACACAGCUGGAGUAAAUCUUAAGCACCACACUCACCAGCGAGAGGAGCGGGCCUCUGCUCCUAAAUGCAGGAUUGUGGCUAGAAGGCCCCCAUGACCCCUAAGAGCACAAAACUCUCUGGGGAAUUAUUGAGACCUAAGGUCACUCGACCUGAAGAAAGCUCUGGAACACGAACUGCAAGGCAGAGUUGUCCCAUGUUGAUGUCCUCCUGUCAUUGGCCCCUAGGGGCUCGUCAGUCACAGGGUGCUUCCUGCAUGGGGCAGGGUGCUUGCGGGCGUAGGGGAUACCCCCCAAGCAAGGCAGGCUCCGUGUGCCAGGCCAGCUCUCCAGAGAAACAGCUCCAGGCAGUUGGGGGACAGGUGCGCUGGCCAGGGAAGGGGCACCUAGAGUAGCACCCAGGCCAAUCAGCACACACUCCCUGGAGACUCAAACUAGAACCAGAUGGCUUAGCCAACAAAGAUGAAGGGAAGCACAAACUCUGUAACUUUUUCUUCUUUCCCCGCAAGGAAUUAGGCUUAGUUGCAAACCAAAAGGGUUCUUCAGGGAGUGGUGUCCUUAAGAUGAGGAAAUCCACAGGUAGCCCAACCUUUUCAUGAAAGUUCUUGUCCCGUCACUAGCAAAUGGCUCAGCUGUAUCUGAACCUGUUCAAAGCACGAGCAUACAUAGUGUUCCAUCUCGCCAGGGGGUCCUACCUCUGAAUUCUCUGGCACCUCCCUCCAGUCUCCACAGCCCCCACCCCGCACUGGGUCAGGACAGAGCUCUACUGUUUAGCCCCAAGUCACCAUAACCGCCCGCAUUUCUGGCCAUGGCAAUUUCAACUCCCUAAAUGUGCCCCGGGUGGGAAGAGAAUCCAGAUGUAACCGUGACCAAGAGUAGGAAACCUUACCUCAGAGGCCAGGGCCCCAGAUGAUGACCCAUUCCUUCAUUUCUCAGUCAGAGAGAGCCGUCCUCUGAAUCGACGGCAGAGUCAAUCAACACCAGCCAUGCACAUAAGCCUUGAUUUGACUUCUUACGAUCAAAAGGAAAAAGAUUCCCAUCUCUCCAUUUUAUCACAACACUGAAUCUGCCAUUAUUGUCCAUGGAGCCUUUGUUUCGAGCCCAGCACAGUUAUUAUAAGAGGGCUCACUAACUACUCUUUUUAAAAGACCAAUCAGCGUGUCCAAACCUCUGCUGUAUACCUCCCUUCUUGUUCGAAGCGACAUUCACGCACCUCUCUGGGUCCUUGUGCACUGGACCCGUGGAGAACCCACCUGACUUGCCCUACCCACCCCCCACACCUGGUUCUCACAUGGGUCACCUCAAGACACCUGCAUAUUCUAUUCUCUUCUUGCCUUUGGUUCAAAAUAAAUUACAAACCCUAAAGAUUCUAAGAAGAGAUGAAAACAAAAACCCAAUUUAUCCGAAGAACUAGUCAUUUACCCCCUGGAGGUUUGAUUAGCUCAUGUCUUACGCUGAACCAGGGUGCUGAAUUAAAACAACAACCACCACCACCAAAACCCAAAAAACAAACCAAAAAAACACGUGUUAAAUAUAUAGUUAAGCCUUGACCUCUAACAGAUGACUAAUGGGUGUUAUGCUGUGUUUUGUUUCUUGUUAAAUUCCCAGAGAUAAUUAUUUACUCAAUAAAGUUUAAACAGUUACCGUAGCAUAAUUGGAAGCUGACCGUACUAGUUUUCUCUCCCCGCCCCUUCCCAGCUGCAGUUGAUGCAGUCAACGUAGUGGACAACACGAUCAUUAGUCUGCGUCUACAACUUUGUGACAACUUAUGGGGAGGAAAUCCACAGGCCUCAUUUUCUCUAACAGCCCUCCUGAAGAUGCCCCUGAGCUGUCGCCCUCUUAUUUCUAACGGAUUCAUUUUCCCCACUCCUCAGGAAGGGGGGCUGUUCUGCAAGCUUGCUAGCUGGGAAGGGGAGACCAGCGAGCUACAAGUUCUCCGCUUUUUCAUUUGCAAGCUUUUCAGGGCUGGGAGGAGUCCGAGCCAUCCAAGAGGACCACUGGGCAUCUGAGGGUAACCUGAGUGCUAAAUGGGUUUCAAGAUUAGGAAAUAUUAGGAAGAGAUGGGACCUGGGUGAUCACAGAGGACUCCCUGCCCAUCCUGCCGGUGAGCUAACUAGAGCCCCAGGGAGGGAUGACUUUGCAGCUGAGAGCCACUUAGGAAUUAAUAGUUUGUAGAAGAUCUGGGUGUAGGUCAAGAGCAGGUCAGGAUCACUUCGCCCAUACACCCCAGAGGCUACUGACCCCUCUUCCCCACCCUGCAGUAUGGCAGUUUUCCUGGGCCUCUUCCGACCUUUAAAAGGUACCAUGCUUCUGCAUCACUGAAUUUCUACAGCAUCCUGGGAAACGUGAUGCCCGGGAUGGGGUGUGGGGGUGGGGAGGAACUAACCUCUAUUUGGAAUACAUCCCCCCAGAUCACUCUAAUUUAUCAAGAUAUGGUUCAGGAAUGGUGAAAACAAAGCAUAGGUUUGGUGCACAUCUAGAGAAUACAAAAUGGCCCUUCCUAGAACCCGUCUGAAGGCAGUAAUGUUUCAGCCGUGUUCUGUGCUUCUGGGUAGCUCCUUCUGUCACGGGGCUAGGCAGGGGAGGCUACCAGGAAGGAGAUGUGCGCAGUCCCAAGGUUUCUAUCUAUCUGGGCCAGCCAGCCCUUUGUGCGGCAUGAAAUAGCCGCUGCCUUUCUUGGAAACCCACAGCCAAAGGUCUCACUGCCUUUUCUCCUGGUGCACAAAGGCCUUCCUCUAGCUGCGUGUUAUUGCUACAGACGUCCAAUGGCUACCACGCCAGUCCGCAGAACUUCCCUGGCCCAGCAGUGCCUCCGAGUCAUCCUUAGCGAGAUAAGAGGAGUCAAGAGGCAGAUGAGCAGGGCACAAGUGAGCUUUGUCCCGGGGAAGAAGGUAGAGGGAAAGGGCAACACACCGAAGGCCCAAGGGAUGCAAAGACACUGCUGGCAGAUGCUCUGUCCUCCUUUUCAUUUGCUUCUGUUGAUCCCUCCCUUCCUCAAGUUUUCAGGGAUCAGCCCCCGCCAGCUGGGAGCCCGAGCUUAGAAUCGAGCGGUUCUCGGGGGAGCCUGGGGGGCUCAGUCGGUUAAAGCAUCCGACCUCAGCUCAGGUCAUGAUCUCACGGUUCAUGGGUUCGAGCCCCGCGUCGGGCUCUGUGCUGACAGCUCGGAGCCUGGAGCCUGCUUCGGGUUCUCUAUCUUCCUCUCUCUCUCUGCCCCUCCCCCCACUCAUGCUCUGUCUCUCUCUGCCUCUCAAAAAUACAGAAACGUAAUAAAAAAAAAAAAGAAGAGCUGCAUCUAGGAGCUCUCAAAGAACAGUGAAUUGAAAAACAUCAAACAAGAGAAAGAGAAAUACUUUCGUAUUCUCUUCUGAGCAGCUGAUUGUUAAAGCCGUUUUCUCAGGCAGGGCGGCCCGAUGGACGGUGUCUCCACAACCAGGGAUCACGCGAGGAGAGCAGAGCCUAAGUAAAGAAUUGGGAGCUGGGCACGUGGGUGGCUCCAUCAGUUAAGCAGCUGACUUUGCCUCCGGUCACCGUCACGCAAUUCCUGAGUUCGAGCCCCACCUCGGGCUCUGUGCUGACACCUCAGAGCCUGGAGCCUGCUUCGGAUUCUGUGCCUCCCCCGCCCCUCCCCUGCUUGCUCUCUCUCUCUCAAAAAUAAAUAAACAUUAAAAAAUGUUUUUAAAGAAUUGGGAGAUUUAUCAUUUGGAAGGUGUAUUCGUUUCCUAGGGCUGCCGUAACAAAUUACCACAAACUGGCGCCUUAAAAUAACAGAAAUGGCGGGGGCACCCGGGUGGCUCAGUCAGUUAAGUGUCCGACUUUGGCUCAGGUUG